rnacentral:lncRNA from 1 species
ACAAAUCUGAGCCCAGUUUUGAAUUUCAGAUCAGUAGAAUUUCAAAUCUCCAUCUAGAUCUUAAUUAACAAUAGAAAACCCCCAAAAAAGCAACAAAUCCAGUAGAAAAUCCAAAAUAUAGCAGAAAAAUACAAAAAAAGAACUAUUACAUUGAUCAUUAUCCAGUUUCCAACUCAAAUUUUGACUAGUUAGCCUAUUUAGGAUCAAAAUAGCCCGGAUCUCCCUACUUCUGUUCUGUACCCGAAGGACUGAAGUGUCUGAUGGAGGUUGGGAUUUGUUCGAGUUGUGAUGGGUGUUUCUUUAUCGUUGAAGUUGUUCUGUAAUUUCCUAGGCCAGUUCUGAGUAGAUUCAGGGUGUUUUGAUUGAGUUCAUUUCUUCAUGGGUUGUGUUCUGGUCCUCGCUCGUUACUGCUGUUUGCUACUGAUGCUGAUCCUUUUCCUCUCCUCCAUUUCAUUUCAAUUUCAGGUACACGGUUGUAACUCUAGAAUUUGUAAGCUGAAUAUCUGAAGCAUGAAUAUAUAUAUAUAUAUAUAUAUAUAUAUAUAUAUAUAUAUAUANNNNNNNNNNNNNNNNNNNNNNNNNNNNNNNNNNNNNNNNNNNNNNNNNNNNNNNNNNNNNNNNNNNNNNNNNNNNNNNNNNNNNNNNNNNNNNNNNNNNNNNNNNNNNNNNNNNNNNNNNNNNNNNNNNNNNNNNNNNNNNNNNNNNNNNNNNNNNNNNNNNNNNNNNNNNNNNNNNNNNNNNNNNNNNNNNNNNNNNNNNNNNNNNNNNNNNNNNNNNNNNNNNNNNNNNNNNNNNNNNNNNNNNNNNNNNNNNNNNNNNNNNNNNNNNNNNNNNNNNNNNNNNNNNNNNNNNNNNNNNNNNNNNNNNNNNNNNNNNNNNNNNNNNNNNNNNNNNNNNNNNNNNNNNUAUAUAUAUAUAUAUAUAUUUCAAGAUUUGAAGCAUAAAGUCUAAUGUAGCCUUUUGUUCUGAUUUGUGUAUUAAAACGACUUAUUCAUUGAUAUCAUGUAGACUUCUAAUGGUUUUUGUAAAACUAGAUUGACUCUGGGUUGUAGAAUAAGUUUUAAUACUGGAUAGUGUAAUUAACACUUUGGCAUCCAUGAUUUUUGUAGCAAAUUUAGGCCGUAAUGGACAGAACUGGGUUGUGUGAGUUUUCUGGUUGUUUGUAGGUAACUUAGUUGGUUUUGCAAUUAAUGUGUGAUGGACUGAAUCAAUAUCAUAAUAUCAGUUAGUUGUGGAUUUCCUCUAUUCGUUUGUGCGAAUUCGUAGGCUUAAACGACUGCACUUGAUUACUUGCUUUACAUUUAAUUGUUGUAUGAACUUGAAGUAGGCUCUUCGAGUUAGUGUUAAGGCUUAGAUAGUAAAUGCUUUAAUUUGAGCUAGGCAUCUGGAUAAUGCUAUCACACAUUUAGUCGUGUAAGCUUAGGCGUGAAAUCAUAAUCAAAUCGUUCAUUAUCACUUUGAUUAGCAUAAGUUGAAACAACUUCAGUGGCAUUGGUUUUAUGAGAACUGAACGUUAUUGGGGUUUGACAGCCCAUUUCAAUCGGUGUAGGCUGCUGGGACAAGAUGAACAACCAAGGUCCAAGUCUGAUUUGCAUAUUCGUUUGGGGCCUGGGUCCAUGCUUGCGAUUGGCCCAUUUUGUGCCUGACCGGUAUUAUGACUCCCUCAUGCGGGUUGCUCGGAAUUUGUAGACUUAAAUGUAGUAAUUCUUAAAAAAUAAAUAAUUAGUAGUUUCUAUUUUUAUUUUUAGAGACAAAUAAAAAUAGAAAAUCAUAGUUGCUUUUAAGUGUGCCUUUAAGUAAUAAAUAAGACGAGCAUCGCCAAAAUAAAGAAUAAAUUGCGGGGCCCUCAAUUAUAUUGUAUUUAAAUACUUAAAUUUCGAGACGGGUCGCUUAGUGAAUCUCACGGCCUUCCCCAAAGAUAAUAACGCGUAAGUCUCUUUAGUCGCGAUUUUAAUAAAACUACCUUUCUAAACUUGGGUGUGCCUUUAUAUUACCGAAAUUCAAAUCUCGACAAAGUCGAAAAUGUCGAAAACUACGGGUGCAUUUACAUGACGUGGUUCGAGAUGCAUUUUCACGAUAUUGCAAUUCUCGAUAAAAAAUAAAAAUAAAAGUAGUCUAAAGUUAAAAAUCAACUAAGUUAGCAUGUAUUAAAAUAAGAUAAAUAGGUCAAAUACGAUAGUUGAGCGACAGUGCUAGAACCACGGAACCCAAGAAUGCCUAACACCUUCUCCCGGGUUAACAGAAUUCCUUAUUGGGAUUUUUUGUUCGCGUACUGUUAACAGAAUCAUAUUUUCCUCGGUUCGGGAUUCAACCGGUGACUUGGGACAACAUUAAUCUCCCAUGUGGCGACUCUGAAAUUUUAAUAAUAAAUCCCGUUCCGAUUGUCCUUUAAGUGGAAAAACUCCUUUAUUCCCAUGAGGGUGUAGGGAAAAAGGAGGUGUGACAAGCAUAACUUCAAUUCGACCCAUGUCAUUACCCAAAGAACUAGACCCUUGAGAUUGAAACAGCGGCGGGUUGUUAGGUUGUUGAUACAUCGGAGGCCUUUGAAAGCCUUUCCCCUGAUUACCUUGACCACUAUUGUUAUUCCACCCACCUUGACCAUUGUUGUUGUUCCAAUUGUUGUUGUUGUUCAUGUUCCAAUGCUCUUGACUACCCGAAUUGUUGUUCUCCCAAUUUCCACCUUGGUUGUUGUUAUUAUUCCAAUUACCACCUUGUUGAUUUCCUCAAUUUCCUUGGGUUUGCCAUUGUUGGUUCGAAGAGUUGCCUCGGUUGCAUUGGUAAUUAUUGACAUAUUGAACCUCCUCACUUUGAUCAUCAUAGCACUCAUUCGAAAAAUCAUACCCAUCAUCAUAGUUAUCACAAUUUCCUUGAGGUUGUUGUCAUAUUUGCCUCCUUUUCAUCAUAUUCACUCUUUCCAUGUCAUUGACUUGGCGCGGGCUUUGUAUUGUUGCAAUUGAGCCUUCACCAAUUGAUUCAUUGUUUUUGUGAGUUUGGCAAUGGCUUGGCCAUGGUCAUGCAACUCCUUAUGAAAAUGUAGGACUGUAGGGUCACCUUGAGGAACGUUUUCUCGAAUUUGCCAUGCCGAAGAAGUAUCGGCCAUUUCAUCUAAAACAUCACAAGCUUCAUAAUAGGGAAUCUUAAUAAAAUUUCCUCCCCCCAAUUGAUUCACAAUAUAUUGGUUCGUUGUGUUGAUUCCCCUAUAGAACAUUUUUUGAAUCAUCACAUCGUUCAAGUCAUUGGUUGGGCACUCUUUCACUAUAGUUCUAAAUCUCUCCCAUAUUUCGUGCAAGGGUUCCGUUGGCUCUUGUUUGAGAGCCAAAAUUUCAUCACGGAGCGCCGCCAUAUGACUUGGAGAAAAGAACUUGGAAAUAAAUUUGUCCGGCAAUUCAUCCCACGUUGUGAUAGAAUGAUUGGGGAUCAUUUCUAACCAAUCCAACUUACCCCGAAGAGAGAACGGGAAAAGCCUCGAUCUCAACACAUCCUCCGUCACGUUUGUCUACUUGCUACCCCAGCAUGUAUAUACGAACCCCUUCAAGUGCUUAUAGGCAUUUUGAUUGGAGGCGCCCGUAAGAUAUCCCUUUGCUCAAGUAGGGUCAACAUAACAUUUGUGAUUUGAAAGUUCCCUGCCCGGAUUCGGGGAGGAACAAUGGCACUCGCGUGCUCUUGAUUUGGGAGAACUCUUUGGGCCACUCUUGGUGAAGGCAGAGGAGGGUCUGGAAUGUUCUCAUUUGCAUUAGCAUUUGCAUUGGCAUUUCGACCUCUUCUUUGAACUUGAGGUAAUAUAUCUUCUUGUUCAAGAUCAUCAACCUCCUCCCCCGCGACCACUUUGCCAAGAGGGUCAUUUGCAUAUAAAGCCAUAUGUACCUGAGUGAUUGACACCAACAAAAUUAGCAAAAAUAAGGAAAGAUAAGCAAAACACAAAACUAACUAAACAUAUAGUAAACACCGUAAGCUCCCCGGUAAUGGCGCCAAAAAGUGAUCGAUUCUGACUCAACGCUAUACGUAUGUAGGAAGAUCAGGUCGCAACAGCUUUUACCCGAAUAGUGGUUUGGGAUCAAAUUUCCACGGGGAGCUAGUAGUGGAGUUGUAUUGGCUCUCUAGCAUAGAGAUGCAUUUGUUCUUGUAAUUGCACUUCAAAUAUUUUGGGUUUUUUUUAAUAUUUAUAACUACUAUUAUGAGCUAAGGAUUAAAGCUAAAUUAUGCUAAGGAAUAUUGUUAGGUUGUAAUUAAUGGAGAGAAAGACAUUAGGGUCGUGGAAUCACCUAGGUGGUUAAUUAACGGGUAGAAACUACUAAGGAUAGAUUGACAUAUUUGGGGCUUAUGCUAUAACCGUUGCACAAUUGUACCCACUCUCACACCUCUCGGUGCAAAGAAUGAUUUUUUCCAAUUGACUUUCUCGAUACCAAUUGGGUAGGUUAGACAAAGCAAAUAGGGUUCAAGUAGGGUGAUUAUUUUCUCAAGAUUUAACCCAUUAAUUGAGACUACCAUUUCUCAUGGGUCCAUCCCAAUACCUUCUUGGGUAAAUUUUGCGGUUAUGGACUCUUUUUCUCAAUGUUUGCAACCAGCAAUCCUUAAUUAGAACAUAAAUCAACCCAAAUAAUAAUUGCCCAAUAUCAAUCUAACCCUAGAUAACAACACCCAUCAAUUACUCACACUAGAGUUGAGCCACAACCCUAGAUAAUGGAUUUAGCUAGACAUAAUUACAGAAGAAACUGGAGAAAUAGAAGAAGAAAUAAACAUAGUAAUUGAUUACUAAGAAGAUACUACAAAAAUCUAUUGAGAAUUUAAAGCUAAAGUGUCACAAAUGGAUAAUAUCUCGGUCUCCAGGUGCACAACUCCGUUAAUAAUACAAAACUUAACCUAAAAAUGGCAAAAUGUUCUUUUUAUAGUGGGCUAGAAAAACCAGACAAAAAUACCCCUGCGGGUUCAGGCGGGCCGCACAAACAUGACCGCGGCCACACUGGCUCUUUGAAUUCAACUUUUUAUCUCUCUAAACUGCCUAGCGGAGGCCGCAUAAAAGGGUGGUGCGGCCGUGGAAGGCUCUGGUGCGGACCGCGUGAAUAAGACCACUGCUGUAUGGCUUGCUCUUGACCAAAAUAAUAGCUCUCCGAAUCUCCUUAUGUGGACUGGAUAAACAAGUAGUGUGGCCAUGAAGGCCAAACGCGGGCCGCAAGAAUCUAACCGCGGCCGCGUGGUCUUUGUCCUGAACAUGCCCUAUCUCUGAUCCUCCUAGUGCGGCUGCAUGCACUUUUGUGCGGUUUGCACUAGGCUCUCUUUCCUUCACUUCACUUGAUUUUUGAUACUUGAUCAGGUUUCACUCCGUUUUGAGCCGAUCUUUGACAUUUCAUCUCUUUGUCGCUCAAACCUGCAAUCAAUCACAACUUGUGAUUAUUUUGGGAUUAUUUUGUAGCAAUUUAUAAUCAAAGCAUAGGCAAGUAGGGGCAUAAAACACGUUAAAAUCCUACUUAUCAAUGACUAUUACAAGUGGACAUGAAUUAUUUUGAUGCGUGUCAAAUCUGAUUGUUCUAGUGUGCUCAAGGCCUUUAUUGCUAUGAUUCUCAACUAAUUUGAAUGCAAAAUUAAAGUUGUUAGGACGAAUAAUGGCUCAGAUUUCUCUUACUAAAAUCGUGGUGAAUUGUUUAGUCAACUUGGUAUAAUACAUCAAAGCUCUUAUCUAUACACAACGCAACGAAAUGGGGUGGUGGAGAGGAUACAUAGACAUAUUCUUGAAACUGCAAGAGCAAUAAAAUUUAAAGGACACCUACCUAGCAGAUGUUGGGGCUGUUGUGUAUAGACUCCAGUAUAUGUCAUUAAUAGAGUACCUUCCACUGUUCUGGGGAAUAAGUCACCAUUUGAGUUAUUAUACCAGAAGGUACCAACUUUGUCAAACAUGAGGAUCAUAGGAUACUUAUGAUAUGCUUAUAAACUUCCUAGAAGUCAUUGAGCCAUAAGGGUUGUCCUAUUAGGUUAUGGUACAUUUCAGAAGGGAUACAAACUAUUUGAUAUUGAUGACAAUGUUUAUCAGUAGAGAUGUUCAAUUUCAUCAAAACAUAUUCCUUUUUCAUGAAAGUUUUGCAAGACAAGAGCCUUGGUCUGUCACCACAAGACCAACUCUCUGCCCAUGGAAUAAGAGAUCUUCUCACCUGCUUUGCCACAUGCAACAGUCAUACCAUCUGCACCUUCUUGGAUUCCUUCUCAAUCAUCAUCACCUACUUCACCUAUUUCUACAAACUCACCGGAUGGUCAACAUAUGAUGUUGACACUGUCACAAGUUCCACCCUUAGAAAGUGAAUCUUCAGCAGUUAAACCAUUAGUAGUUAAAUCCUCAACCAUCAGGUAGUCUGCUCGAAUUUCCAAACUACCUAUUUGGCUCAAGGACUUUGUUGUUCCUGGUAUUAAGCAUGCUACAACAACCUAUCUAUAUCCCUUAUCAGAUGAGGUCAGUUAUGCUUCACUCUCCUCCAGUUAUAAGAGCUUCAUUAACAAAUUUUCUCUUGAAGUAGAACCUACCAGUUAUGCUCAAGCAGUAAAAGAUCCAAGAUGGAUUGAAGCUAUGCACACUGAGAUUAAAGCUUUGGAGGAUAAUCAAACCCGGAAUGUGGUUACUUUACCUUAUGGCAAAAGAGCUAUUGGGUGCAAGUGGGUCUAUAAGAUUAAAUAUAAAGUCUCAUGAGAGGUGGAACGAUUCAAAGCAAGGUUAGUUGCUAAAGGGUACAGUCAACAAGAGGGUCUAGAUUACCAAGAGACCUUCUCUCUAGUUGUUAAGACGGUUACUCAGAGCAGGCAUCUUUGUCGCAGUAUCUAAGCAUUGGGAUAUUCAUCAAAUGGAUGUCUACAAAGCCUUUUUACAAGGAGAUUUAGAUGAAGAAGUGUAUAUCAGCUUGCCUCAAGGAUUCAGUCAUCUACAUGGUAUUAGUCCUAGGUGUGCAGGCGGCUCAAGUCCUUGUCCCGACUCAAGCAAGCCUCAAGACAAUGAAUUAUCAAACUUACUCAUGCUAUUAUAUCCUAUGGGUUCACUCAGAGUUACCUAGACUAUUCCUUAUUCACUAAGAGGUCUGCUGGCAUAUUGUGGUGGUUUUAGUCUAUGUGGAUGACCUAUUAAUCACUAGCGAUGAUCCCCUUCUGAUUCAUGAAACUAACUCCAAUUUGCAGCAAAGUUUCAAGAUCAAGGAUUUAGGUACCUUGAAAUAUUUUCUAGGAAUAGAGUUUGCAAGAGGCAAAGAUGGAAUAUGUUGGCCCAAGAAUAGGUGAAGUUUUGAAGAAUGACAAAUGAACUCAGUCAUGGGCCAGGUCAAUCAUGUGAAGCAUAGUCAUGAUCAACCGAUACAUGUGAGGAGCACGUGAAGGAGAUAAGUCCAUUUGAUCAAGCAGCAAUAUCUCCUGAUCUGAUCGGAAAGGUUGCAUAUUGGAUAAAGGGAGAAAGUCUCCUUAUGUGAAGAGAACACAAUACGGAUAAAAGAUAGUGCUGGAGUUUGAGAUGUUCAAGGACUCAACUUCGAUAGAAGAUCAGAAAUUGAGUCCCAAUCAAACUCUAAUUAGUAACCCAUUAAAUAACAGUAAUUGUUCUCUUUUACAAGAUAGUGUUUGAGUUUGUGUUGUUAGAGGAAUCAACUUCGAUGGAAGAUUAGCAAUUGUGUCUCAAUCAAACUCUAAUUACUAACUCAUUAAAUAAUAGUGAUUGUUCUCUUGUAUUGGACAAACACAGAAGUUAAACUAAACUGAUAGAAAAAGAGCAAGGAAAUUUUGCAAGCAAUUUAUAUGAGAUUUGAGUGUGCAUUCCUAAAGCUUCUUGGACGAGAUAGAAGAACCAAUUCCAUUGUUUCUUUCUUUUAUUCUAGUUCAAUUGUAGUAGGUUAUUUAAACUUGUACAUUUCAGCUUUCAUAGAAGCAAUUGUAUGAGGUACCUUGAGUAUUCAAGUUAGAGUUAACUUGAAGUUACCGCAAUAGUUGAGGCUGUGAGCCACAAAAAGAUUAGAGUUAAUCCUUAGGUUUACAAGAGUUUGAAAAUGUUGUUUUGGCUCAGUGAUUUUAGUGGAAGCUUGGGAAGAUCCUACGGAUUAGUAGGUCGUGUGUUUUUCACCUUUUGAGCCAGGUGUUUUCCAUGUAAAAAUCUUUGUUUUCUUUAUUUUUUGUACUUUUUAUUUCGCAAACAGUAGAGUUAGUACACCUAGAAGAAUCAGGUUCUUCUAGAGCAAAAAAUUUGGUACCACACAAAUCACCCCCCCUCCCCCUUCUUGUUUAGUAUUGACGUUUAAUGCAUCAAUUGGUAUCAGAGCAGGUUAUUCUUAAAGAGGCUAACACCUUAGUAUAAGAUAAAAAAUUAGUGCACCACCUGGAAACUGGGAAGGGCAAUCCACUACUAGGCCUCCUUUUCAAUGGCCAGUAACACCUUAGGAAAAUAUCAACAUGAGUGCACGACCUGGGAACUAGGUAGGGAAAUCCACUGCUAGGCCUCCACUUUUUAACGGUCAGCACUAUUCUUGGUGGAAGAACAUGAUGAGGGAUCACAUCAUAGGAGAAGACUAUAAACUCUGGGACAUAGUCACUGAUGGCCCUCUAGCUACUACAAAAAAGAAUGUUGAAGCAGUGGCUAUGCCAAAGACUACAAGUGACUGCACUGCUGAAGACCUGAAGAAGUGGGAGAUGAAUGCUAAGGCCAAGAAAAGACUUAUAUAUGGUCUAGGUCCAGAUACAAUAGAAUUCAAAGUUGUACCACUGCUAACGAAAUCUGGGAUACUUUUCAAGUGGCUCAUGAAAGAACACCUCAAGUGAAGAGGUCCAGAGGAACACUGUUGCAUUCUCAGUAUUAGAACUUCACCAAGAAGAAAUGAGAAACCAUCCAAGAGAUGUAUACAAGGUUCACCACUCUAUCGAAUGAACUUAAAUCUCUUGGAAGGAUUAUCCUUGAAGAAGACAAAGUUGAGAAGAUUUUGACAAGGGUUCUGCCAGUCUCUUGGGAAAGCAAAAUCACUACAAUUCAGGAAUCAAAGAACAUUGCUAUCCUCAAGCUGGAUGAACUGAUUGGAAAUCUUACUGCCCAUGAAUUGAGAAGGAAAACCAUGAAAAUGGAUGCAACCAAGAAGGAAAGAAGUCUGGCUCUCAGAAUUGCUGAAGGAUCAGAUCUUGAGGAUGAUGAAAUGGCUAUGAUCACUGGAGAUUUUAAAAAGUACUUGAUGAGAGGAAAGGGUUCUUCAAGAGGUACAACCUUCAACAAACCAAAGGCUCAUGAGAAACAGACUAAUAAGAGCUGCUACAAGUGUGAUAAGACUAAUCAAUAAAUGCCCUCAAUGGGAAAUUGAGUGGAAGAAGGAAAGGGAUGAACAAAGGAACAGGUUCAACCAAAAAAGAACAAAGGAUCAACAAAGGCUAUGGUUGUUGCCUAGGGAAAAACAUUAGAUGAGGACUCAGAAGAUGAAUCUGGAGAUGAACAAGCUCUUAUGUACAUAGGAGAAUCAUAUGAUGAACAAAAGGUCCAAGUGAAGAGUAGCAGCCAAAUAUGGCAUAUGGAUAGUGGCUGCUCAAAACAUAUGACUACAAGCAAGAACCAGUUCCUUUCACUUGAAGACUUAAAGUGAGGUAAUGUCUCCUUUGAAAAUGGGAAGAAAGGUGAAAUAAUUGGGAUUGGAAAGGAAGGCAAGAAAAACUCUCACUCCAUUAAGAAUGUCUACUUGAUAGAUGGCUUGAAAUAUAACCUGAUCAGUGUGUCACAAGUGUGUGAUAGAGGUAACUUUGUAGCUUUCACCUCUACCAAAUGUUUUGUGAUUAACCUUACCACGGACAAUAUUGUUUUGUAGGAAAAGAGAGUUAACAAUAUUUACAUUGUAGAUCUUUCUACUCUCUCAGAAAAUGAACUAACCUGCCUAAGUGUGUUGGAUAAUGACCCACCUUGUGGCACAAAAGACUUGGUCUUGCCAAUCUGAAUCAGCUAAACAUAAGGACUUGGUGAUAGGGCUACCUAACAUCAAAUUCAAGGAAGAUAAAGUUGUGAGUCUUGUGAAAGAGGGAAUCAUGUAAGAUAAUCUUUUAAAAGCAAGAAAAUGGCAAGCGCAACCAAGUCGUUGGAACUGGUCCAUAUGGAUCUCUGUGGUCCAAUAAGCACCAUGAGCAGAGGUGGAAAAAAGUAUGCAAUGGUACUUGUUGAUGAUUAUUCCAGAUUUACCUAGGUACUAUUUCUAACAUCUAAAUAUGAAGCAUUUAACAUGUUUACUGCCUUUGUCAGAAAAACUCAUAAACAAUUAGGAAAUCAGCUUGAAUCAAUUAGGUCUGAUCAUGGAACUGAAUAUGAAAAUGCUAAGUUUUCUGAAUUUUGUGAUGAAACCAUGAUCUAUCAGCAAAAGUAUGAAAAUGAGCUAAUGAAAAAGUUUAAUAUGGAAGAAUCAAAAGAAAUAGACACACCCAUUGCAACUGCCACUAAAUUAGAUAUUGAUGAACCUNNNNNNNNNNNNNNNNNNNNNNNNNNNNNNNNNNNNNNNNNNNNNNNNNNNNNNNNNNNNNNNNNNNNNNNNNNNNNNNNNNNNNNNNNNNNNNNNNNNNNNNNNNNNNNNNNNNNNNNNNNNNNNNNNNNNNNNNNNNNNNNNNNNNNNNNNNNNNNNNNNNNNNNNNNNNNNNNNNNNNNNNNNNNNNNNNNNNNNNNNNNNNNNNNNNNNNNNNNNNNNNNNNNNNNNNNNNNNNNNNNNNNNNNNNNNNNNNNNNNGUGAUGAACCUGAUUCAUCAGUUGAUCAAAAGUUGUAUAGGAGUAUGAUUGGUUCACUCUUGUAUCUUACUACUAGCAGACCUGACAUUGUUUUUAGUGUAGGGCUUUGUGCUCGCUUUCAGGAAAAUCCUAAAGAGUCUCACCUAACUGCUGUCAAAAGGAUACUAAGAUACUUGAAAGACACCACUGAUCUGUAUCUUUGGUAUCCCAAAGGUAGCAAUUUUAAUAUUGUAGAAUAUGCUGAUGCUGAUUAUGUAGGUUUUCUAGUAGAUAGGAAGAUCACCUCAGAUAUGGCACACUUCCUUGGUUCAUUUCUUGUGUUAUGGGCUACUAAAAAGCACAAUUCAGUGGCCUUAUAAACUACUGAAGCUGAAUAUGUUGUUGUUGCUUCUUGUUGUGCUCAAAUACUAUGGAUUAAACAGCAACUGGUAGACUUUGGUAUUGAAGUGGUUGCGUUCCUAUUUUCUGUGAUAGCACUAGUGCUAUAAGUAUGACAAAGAACCCUGUUCAUUGUAAAAAGACUAAGUACAUAGACAUUAGGCAACAUUUCUUAAGAGACAACUAAAGGUCUGAUCUCUAUAGAAUUUAGUGCUACUGAUAAGCAAUUGCUGACAUCUUUACUAAAACACCAAGUAGAGAAAACUUUAAGAGGAGCAGGUUGGAAAUAGGGAUGAUUAAAGUCACCUAAUAGGCCUAGCUCAGAAUACACAAUGAAAAAAAUUUUAAAAAUGAAAAAAAAUUGAAUAUUUUUGGCUAGGAAUUCUAACUUUGUGUAGAUAUCUAGAUUAAUUCUUACUCAGUUUCAUACUUUAAUUAGUAUAUUCUUGUGACAUGUAUAUACAUAACUCACUCAUCUCUUACAAAGUUUUUUCAAUUAUGGCAUUUGAGGCAUGUUCAAAAUGAAGAACCUGGUUCAUCAAUAUGAGUUCAUAUGAAAGCUCAGGCAUGUUUUCAAUACUUUGCAAAAUUAGAAAGAUUAACAAUUCGAUCAUGAGCAGAAGUCCUAUACUUGCCAAAUUCCUAGAAAAUUCUAUCCGCUGAAGCAUUGAACCAGUUCCGUCCAUUAGAACUCUAAAGCCGUAAUUUUUUCCUAAUAUUUAGGGAAGCCAAAUAGUCAUUAAAAAUAUGGAAUUACAGUUUGAUUAGACUUCUAUUUAACCCCUGAAAAGUUAUUGUUACUGAAUUGAUGUCUAAUUCUGUUUAAAUACACACCACAUCUCUAAUCUUCUUUAUUAUUUUAAAAUCGUUAAAAAUUAUCUUCUUCAACUCUAAUUGCUCUCUUCUCCAAAAUUCCCAAAUUAACUCAAGAAACAAACAAAUAUGUCUAACCCACAAGAUCAUCCUAGUUCUCCUCCACCACCAUCACCCUCAAAUUCAUCCUCAUCUACUCCUAGUGAAUCCACAAAACCUAGGUUUCGAAGGCAGAAAAUGAUAGCUCAAAAAACUAUAGCAUCUGGGGCUCUGAGAAAGGUGUUAAGUGAAAGGCUGAAAGCUAGCCAAGUGAAAGAAAGCUCUGCUGAAGAGUCUGACUCCAGUUCUGAGGCCGAAACCUUCCAAUCUGCGAGUGAAGGUGAAGGACAUGGGUAUUCUGACACUGAGAAAAUUCAAGAAACCCCUAUUGAGGUAAGUUCUUCUGCGGUUGAAAAUUUAAAAAUUAGGUUUAUUCUAUUUGGACCUAUUAGAGAUGUAAAAUUGGUUGAAUCGAGUAGGAGUGGAGGUAAAAAGAAAGGAAAAGAGAGAGAGGAUGCAAGUAGUAAAGAGAGGGAAGGAAGAGGUUCUUGUUAUAUGCGAGGUUGAAGAGGAGAGUGGUAUGAAAUCAGGGGGAAGUGGCUCUGGGGAAGCUAUUGAAGGGUUGGUUCAUCUAAACAAACAUAGAGAUGAACCAGUUUCAUCCACUGAGGAAACUCUGACUGACCUUCAGAAAAAGGUUGGGGCAAGUUAUGAUCCAAAGAAAUGCAAAGCUACUUCACAAAAAGCCCCAAAUGUUCCUAAACCAUCUAAGGAAAGAAAAACUUCAUCCCCAAAAUCUACUGCCCCUUCAGUGGCUAAGGAAAGAGCCACAAAAAGCAGGGUAAAACAAAAUGAAGCUGACUUACAAAAAGCUCUAGAAGAAAGAAAGAAAAAGAAAAUAGAGAAGGGAAAAGGAAAGGGAAAGGUUUCAGAAUCCUCUGAGGUUGUAGAGGAAAAGGAGAUGGAACUGGUCCAUCAAGAAAGUGGUAAAACAAUGGAGGUUCCUACAGCCAAACCUAAAAAGUCUAAGACUUCUUCCAAGAAGUCUUCUUUUGUACUUGUGUCUGCUAAACCCUCACUAGACAAAGAUUCGCAGUGAAAGCUAAACAAGCAAAAGUUUUAGAUGAUGAUGAGUGGAGUGGAGAAGAAUAAGAAGAGGAAUCAAAGAAGGAACAUGACAAGUUUGUCAUCUUUGGCAGGAGAAAAAUUUUGAAAGGUAGAUUGUUGAAAGGCCUGGUGGAACCAAGGAUGAUGAGGUUGGUUGACUCUUUAGCUGCUCAAGGUUGGAAGGACAUGGUCCUUCAGAUAUAUGGGAGACUAGCCAGAAAUGAACUAUUGAGUUUAUGGCUAAUGUUGUCGUUAAGGAUGGCGUUGUCAGUAGCUUGGUGAAGGGAGUCCCAGUGCAAUUUGAUGCUGAGAAACUGGGAAAAAUUCUGGAUAUACCCUCUGAAGGGUUUGAUGACAACACUAGGUAAACGUGGCCAUGCCUGGACUCCCUACCUACUGCCCUAGAGAUCACCAAGAGUUUUUGUGAUUCAGAGGAGGUGAAUAAGCCAGGACUGUGCAGAAAAGUGAGAUGAGGCCUGAGCACAAGGUUGCGUUUAUGUUUGUCAACAAGUGCCUGUUGCCUAGACAAGAGAGAAUACAUACUGCAAACUACAUGGACCUGGUUCUUAUUGAGUGCCUUGAGAGAGGAAGGAAAAUCAACUGGAUUGCCCUCAUUGUCAAAUUGCUGGACAGGGUCAUCAAUGGCUCCAAGGCUCAUGCUACUCCAUAUGAAUUCAUACUGACCACAAUUCUGGACAGGUUGAAUGUGCCUUUGAAGAAAUGGGAAAUGGCAUCAAGCAAAGAACAUUUUGGCAUUAAGACUCUUUUGGUUUGUGACUAUCCAAUCAAUGAUAUCCCAGUUGAACCUAGUUCAUCUCUGAAGACACCCAUCAACAGCAAGGUUAGGACUUUGGUUCAGGAAUGUGGAACUAAAGAUGCUGAAAUUGCUAGGCUCAAGACUCGUGUCGUUGAAUUGAAAAAUGAGAGGGAUGGCCUUAGAACUGAGCUAGCAAAAGAAAAGGAGAAGAGUGAUGGAAUUCUUUAGAAUAUGCUGAACCUUCACCAGACUCAACCCUCUAGUUCCUCCAAGCCUUAGGUCUCGUAGCACUUGUCUUCUAAACUUGUCUAGUACCCAGUGACCCAUAGUGACCUGAAUUAGGGAUUUUCUAUUUUUUGCUCAUGUUUUGAUAGUUUUUCUUUCUUUUUGUGGACUGUUAAUGGCAACAUAUCAUGAUCAAUGACAAUAACUGUUUUCUCUUCUUCUAUGAUUAUUAUGAUCUUAAUAGUUUAAAUAUAUUUGUUGAUUAUUGAUGAUUGCACCAUAUUACCAACUGCAGUUGCCCCAGUGGCCAUGAGUACUUUUUAAAAUCUGGGAUUCACAUUAUGUAUGCAACUUUUCGAUGAUGCCAAAAAGGGGAAAAUAUUGUGCUUUACACAUUAUUCUGAAAUAAGUGAUAUUUAUAACCUAUUUAACAUGGUCCUUGAUGAGAAGUAAUUUUUCUAAGUCUAGUGUUGAUGAGAAGUAGUUUUCUAAGUCUAAGUAAUCAGUAAAAAGCACAGAGUUUGUCAUCAUCAAAAAGGGGGAAUUUGUUGGUCCAAGAACAGGUGAGGUUUUGAAGAAUGACAAAUGAACUCAGUUAUGGACCAGGUCCAUCAUGUGAAGCACAAUCAUGAUCAACCUAUACAUGUGAGAUGCACGUGAAGGAGAUAAGUCCCAUUGAUCAAGCAGCAAUAUCUCCUGAUCUGAUCGAAAAGGUUGCAUAAUGGAUAAGGGGAGAAAGUCUCCUUAUCUGAAGAGAACAUAAUCUGGAUAAAAAAUAGUGUUGGAAUUUUUGUUGUUCAAGGACUCAACUUCGAUGGAAGAUCAGCAAUUGAGUCUCAAUCAAACUCUAAUUACCAACUCAUUAAAUAACAUUGAUUGUUCUCUUUUACAGGUAUUGCACAGAGGAAGAAGUUAAACUAAUUCGAG